AUAGCAAACCGUCUUAUCGCUGCGCCCGCGGGCGGAGAGGAAAGUCCGGGCAACACAGAGCAUCCUACUUCCUAACGGGAAGGGUCUUUUCCGGCGACAGAAAAGAUACAGCCAGUGCCACAGAAAAUAACCGCCCUAUUUUAAUUAUGAAUUAGAAAUUCAAAAUUAGAAAUUACCCAAUUUUUAAUUUUUAAUUUAUAAUUUCUCAUUAUAAAGGGUAAGGGUGAAAAGGUGCGGUAAGAGCGCACCAGUACAGCCGGUAACGGGUGUAGCUGGGUAAACCUUAGGCGUUGAAAGACCAAA
rnacentral:RNase_P_RNA from 1 species